UGGCAGCAUCAUGUGACUAGCGAGCACAACUUAAGCAACUCUCAUAAUUACAUCAGAAAGUAAUGGAAAACUCAGUCCACCGUUGCUAGAUCUGUUUAGCCUCCUAGUCUUCCACAUAAGUUUUAUCUAUAUUUGUCAACUUCAUCUCUCUUCUUUGGCACUUUUCCCUGCCUUCAUCCAUAUGCAAAAGACUGACUAGUUUCAUCAGCUACUUACUCAUUGUGAAAUACGUAUAACAGCAGGAAAAGGAAUUACAAAGCUUUAUUAGAUAUCCCUGACUAAACUGAGUUUCAGCAAAUGGAUUUUUUUUUUUUAAUUAACGACCACAAAUGCAGAUAUCUGAAUAAGAGAUCCAAAUGAAAAACUUUUUGUCUCUUCUAUCUGACCUCUGUUGCUUUUAAGAGCUAUUUGGGGAAAAGACUAUGGCUACAACUGUAGGAAAUAGCAAUUUAGACUACCUGAAAGCAAUAUACUUUGGAGCAACCCCAUCAUUUGAAGGUGAAUGACUGAAAGAGAAAAUAUGGCUAGGACAUGAAGGCAUACAGGCAAUUCCUGACUCUGAAUCUUUACAAGAAGCUAUAAUAAAAUGUGGAUGAAGAGGAGAGAGCUCUUCAGGUCAAAAUAAUGAUCCAUCUAAUGAAGUUCUGUGAUUUUUCUAUUCAAAACCAAAGGGCACCUAUAUCCCUUAUGUCAACUAUGUU